AUGGAAAACACAAGGGAGGAGAAUGCGGUGCCGAGAGUUGCUGUAGUGGUGUGCCUGUUGAAGGGGAAGACGGUGCUGUUAGGACGGCGUCGUUCCUCUCUUGGCGACUCUACCUUUUCCCUCCCUGGUGGCCACCUCGAGUUUGGUAAUUAUAUACAAAUACAUGGAUUUUUGUUUUAUUAUUUAUCUUUACUAAUUAAUUAAUUAACUGGAUUAAUUUUGUGUUUUGUGCGAGAUCAGGUGAGAGUUUUGAGGAGUGUGCAGCGAGAGAAGUGAAGGAAGAAACUGGUUUGGACAUUGACAAGGAGAAGAUAGAGUUGCUGAGGGUUACAAACAACUUGUUCGUAGAGGAAGUGAAGGCAUACCACUACGUGGGGAUUUUCACGAGAGCAGUGCUGACAGAUGGCGAUCAUCGGGAGCCCCAGAAUGUGGAGCCCAACAUGUGUGACGGUUGGGAUUGGUAUGAGUGGGACCGCCUCCCACAACCACUGUUUUGGCCUUUGCAGAAUGCAGUGGAGGCCGGAUUUAAUCCUUUUCAUGCAUCACCAUGA
rnacentral:lncRNA from 1 species